rnacentral:lncRNA from 1 species
GUAUUGGUCAAUACGCAGCGUAUAUAAACCAUUAGAUUUUUUGGGUCAUUUUGGUAGGUUUGAGGGAAAUUUUUUCACAAAGUUUAAAUACGCUGCGUAUUGACCUCUAAGGAGCGUAUAUAGAGGUCUGAAAAUGUCUUUUAUACCCUUGUCUGAAAAUGUCUUUUAUACCCUUGUGUUCAGGCUAUACGAAGCCAAAUACAAGGGUAGUUGUGUCAUUUUGGUCUCAUACGCUGCGUAGGGACCUCUAAGGAGCGUAUAUAAAGCUCCAUUUUUGUAUUUUUUAUUGUGUAUUCCUUUGUUUAUUUAUAAAAAAAAAGAAAAUUAUUUAUAAAAAAACAAUAUUAUUGGUAAAUAAUACAAAUAUAAAUUAUAAAAAUAAAAAUAAUAUAAAUAUUAUGAAUUAUAAAAAUUAAAAAAGAAAAUUAUUUAUAAAAAAAAC